rnacentral:rRNA from 1 species
AUGGCUCCAUACAGAUUGGCUGCUUUUGGAUUCAGAGGUGCUCUUAAACUUCAGAAUAAAUAUUAUGGCCUUUUUCUUAUAGUACAGAAGGUGGGCAACGCAGCAUAUAAGCUCCAAUUUCCUCAAGUGGUGCAGAUACAUCCAGUCUUCCAUGUUAGCCAACUCAAGAAACACAUUGGCAACAAGGCAAUCCCAAGCCCAAUGCUUCCAAUGGUUAACAGUGAUGGCACAAUCAAAACGGGUCCGGCAGCAGUACUUCAGGUCAGACAGAUACCACGCAACAACUUACCAGUGGUGCAGUGGUUAGUUCAGUGGCAAAACAUAUCCGAAGCAGAAGCUACAUGGGAAGACGCAGACUUUGUUAAGUACUUCUUCCCAGAGUUCUUCAAAGCAACCACUCAAGCAUGGGGGGCAGCAGCAACAACGACGUGA